ensembl:snoRNA small nucleolar RNA SNORD67
UGUGAGAGUGAUGAGUUGCACCGUCAGUCGGGGCGCUGGUUGCAGUGGCACAAGCGCCCUGUCCCGGAUCUCCCUGGGGACAACCCAAUGUGCACAGGGGCCAUCUGACUCACC